rnacentral:rRNA from 1 species
UACGUAGGGUGCAAGCGUUGUCCGGAAUUAUUGGGCGUAAAGAGCUCGUAGGCGGUCUGUCGCGUCGGAUGUGAAAAUCCAGGGCUCAACCCUGGACCUGCAUUCGAUACGGGCAGACUAGAGUUCGGUAGGGGAGACUGGAAUUCCUGGUGUAGCGGUGAAAUGCGCAGAUAUCAGGAGGAACACCAAUAGCGAAGGCAGCUCGCUGGGACGGUAUUGACGCUAAGGCGCGAAAGCGUGGGGAGCAAACAGG